CAGGCAGAGACAGAGAGAGAGAGAGAGAGAGAGAGAGAGAGAGAAGGGAAGAAGGGAGAGAGCAAGAGCAAGGGGGGAAAGCCACAGUGGUAGGCAGUCCCACUUUGAGCACUGUGAGGUCACAAACCACAUGAUUCUGUCUCUCCAGUAAUAGUGCUUGCAAAAAAAGGAGUUUUAAAGCUUUUGCUUUUUUGGAUUGUGUGAAUGCUUCAUUCGCCUCACAAACAACCACAGAACCACAAGUGCGGUGCAAACUUUCUCCAGGAGGACAGCAAGUCGUCUCUGGUGUUUAAAUGGUUAAUCUCCGCAGGUCACUACCAGCCACGGAGACCAACAGAGUCAUCUAAGGCUGCAAGCAGUAUUUACAACAGAGGGUACAAGUUCUAUCUGGAAAAAAAAAGAGGGACUAUGGCAUCAAACAGCCUCUUCAGCACAGUGACACCAUGUCAGCAAAACUUCUUUUGGGAUCAUGAUCAGAAAAAUCCUCCAAUGCCAUCUGUUUUACAAGCCCUUCAUGAUGUCACUUUCCUUCAGAAGCAGAGAUUUUUGAGAGAAGCAUUCCAUCAGACAGGCAGCACUUAUCACCUCUUGAAAAAUAUAGAGUAUAAUACAGCCCACACUAGCGACAGCUCCAGGUAAUGGGAGGACCUAAGUUAACAGGUAACUCUACAAAGGCAAAGUAAUGAAGAGUAAAAAAAGGGUAAGAUGUAACCAAGAUGGUUUAGGACACAGUGAAUGAGUGACUGAGUGACCAGACAUACACAGCAGAGGUGAGCAAAGGUGAAAAUGUAUGACAGAGGAGUUGUACUUCUUAAAAGAUUGCAGGAAAACCAAUGAGACUCGCAGAAGCUUCCUGAUAACCCCUGACUAAUCACACUGCCUCUUAUCUCUGUAAAUAGCACUUAAAAUAUAUUAAAUAUAUUCUCUAUAAACUAUAUUGUAUAAACACUGAUACACACAUAAUUAUAUUAGAAUGUAGGAUUUUUAUAGACUAAAAAAUGAAGCUGGUCUUUUAUUAACCACUAUAACCACCAUUCAAAAAUAAGAAUAAAUGAUUUAAAAUUAAGAGAGUAAGUUGGCUAAUUUUUACAUAGUGCCGACAGCACAAUUUUACAUUCAUGCAAGAAAAACAAAGAAAACAGGAGUUUUUUGGAGUCUCCAAUUAUAUACACUAGUUAACUAACCGACUCAUUAGUCAGCUGUUUUG
rnacentral:lncRNA from 1 species